rnacentral:guide_RNA from 1 species
AUAUCAUGCAUACUGAGCCACGAUAACCCAGUGAUUUAUAGUAUAUAU